rnacentral:rRNA from 1 species
GAUGAACGCUGGCGGCGUGCCUAAUACAUGCAAGUCGAACGAAGCCUUCGGGCUUAGUGGCGGACGGGUGAGUAACACGUUGGUACCUGCCUCGAAGUGGGGAAUAACUGGCCGAAAGGUCGGCUAAUACCGCAUGUGAUCGCAAGAUCAAAGUCGUAAGACGCUUCGAGAGGGGCCUGCGUCCCAGUAGCUAGUUGGUGGGGUAAUGGCCUACCAAGGCGACGAUGGGUAGCUGGAUCGAGAGGUUGACCAGCCACACUGGGACUGAGAUACGGCCCAGACUCCUACGGGAGGCAGCAGUAAGGAAUCUUCCACAAUGGACGAAAUUCUGAUGGAGCAACGCCGCGUGCAGGAUGACGGCCUUCGGGUUGUAAACUGCUUUUAUAUGGGAAGAUUAUGACGGUACCAUAUGAAUAAGGACCGGCUAACUACGUGCCAGCCGCCGCAGUAA